GGUCGCGUGGCCCAAUGGGUAUGUUCAAAUCCAAAUCAAAGUAUCUCCACAAUCUUGCAAUACUAACACAGUAUACAGCAAGGCGUCUGACUACGAAUCAGGAGAUUCUGGGUUCGAUCCCCAGCGUGAUCA